GGUCCGAUAGUUAAACAUAUAACUGUAAACUGCAAAUUUUCGAUUGCGCUAUGCGCGCUUGGGCAU
rnacentral:tRNA from 1 species